UGGGACGACGUCCCUUUCUUUUGCUUCGGAUAGUAAUUAUAAAAAUAAGUAUUUAUUCAAUUUAUAACCCGCCAUCUAGACCGAAGUCUACUCUGGGCGGCUAAAUCCAAAUACUGUAUUAGGAUUCCUACUACACAAGAGAUUGACUGCUUAACUGGAGGCGUUAAAACCCCGCCCGCGCAGCCUCUCGUUCUCCAACCUGCCUGAGGGAAACGGGCGGGGUAACACGCGCGAAGUGCGCACGCGCAAAGAAGGCAAGGUGGGGAAGGAGAUCAGCUCAGCGCCCGCCGGAACCGAAGUGGUCCAGCGGCUGCGGCUCCGUUACCAUGCCAACGCUAGCUGCCGGAAGAACUCCUCCGUGCGCCCGCCCAUCUUCCCGAAUCUCGCCAGAGCGCAAAGCUCGGACUCCUGAGAAGGGCUCCGCCAUUGGUGUUGAAGAUGGCGGACGACGGAGAAGAUGAGAAGAAUGAGGCGGCGGCGGAGAGUACAGGCGCGCUGCGUCGAGAGAAAGGAGCCCGUGGGACUGGCCGGCCUCCCACCGUUCGGGACCUACAGUUGGCACUGGCUGGAUUGUAUGAAGAUGAAAUGAAGAGACAACCACCUCAUUCUGAAAAAGCAGCAGCUAGAGUAGCCAGUCAUCCAAGAUUACCAGUGCAAAGGAGCUUGAAAAAAACCGAAAGAAGUAUGAGUGAUGAUAAAGAUAACCAAAGAUUUUACUCAGGUGAUUCAGAUUACAGAAUUGUUGGACCAUCUAAAAACAUAACUCCCAGCAAAAUUGUUGAUGAGCUUUUCAAAGAAGCAAGAGAACAUGGGGCAGUCCCUUUAGAUGAAGUACCAAGAGCCUCUGGAGAUUGUCAUAAAGCUAAAUCAUUUUCUGGUGGUGGAUACAGAUUAGGAGAUUCAACUUGGAAGCGCUCAGAAUAUAUAUAUGAAGACAAUCAGUAUGGGCAAGAUGUGCAAAUAUUACUUAAACUUUGGAGAAAUGGUUUCAGCUUAGAUGAUGGAGAACUGAGGCCAUACACAGAUCCAGCAAAUGCUCAGUUUCUGGAGUCUGUUAAAAGAGGAGAGAUUCCUGCAGAACUCCAAAGAUUGGUACACGGAGGUCACAUUAAUUUGGACAUGGAAGACCACCAGGAGCAGGAAUAUGUAAGGCCUAGAUUGAAAUUCAAAGCAUUCAGUGGAGAAGGACAGAAACUUGGAAGCCUUACUCCUGAGAUUGUCAGUACGCCUUCUUCCCCAGAAGAAGAGGAGAAAUCUUUUCUUGAUGGUCCUGUUGUGAUAGAUGACUCUAUACCAACAACUAAAAUUCAAAUUAGGCUAGCAGAUGGAAGUCGCUUAAUACAAAGAUUUAAUCAAACACACAGGAUAAUAGAUAUUCGAAACUUUAUUAUCUGGUCUCGUCCUUGGCUUGCCACUACUGACUUUGUUCUGCUGACUACAUUCCCACAUAAAGAGCUUACAGAUGAAAGCUUAACUCUGCAAGAAUCAGAUAUACUGAAUACUGUGAUUCUUCAGCAACUGAAGUAGACUUUGAGCCUAUCAGUUGGUGAAUGGAUGAUAAUCUGUAUUAUUGUACAACAGUGUUUCCAAGAAGAAAGGAGCAAAAGAAAGCAAGUUUCUGGCUCAAGCAGUUCUGCUGGGUUUUAAUAUAGUUCUGUCUUCCAAUGAUAACCUUGUUAAUGAUAAUUCAGAAAGACUUGUUAACAUUGAUUUUAUAUCCUUCUAAAGCUAAGUGUUAAACAUGAUGUGAAUUCAAGUACUUUUAUUGGGAAGGGGGAGAACUAUUAAACUUAGAUAAUUUAUAGGGGGAUAAAAACCAUUUUUGGAUACAGAAACAUUCUUUUUCUGCAGACUUGCAGGAGUUGAACUAUGGAAGAAUUUUAGGCUGCAUCAGCUAAAAGCUGUUAAGAUUCUUCAUUUAUCAGUUAUGUCAAUUGUGUGAAUUAAUAUUGCAUUGAUAUCUUCCAUAUACUCAGCAUGCUUUUGACAUAUUCUGUAAUGCUGUGCUAGUGAGAUGUUUGGUUAAUUCUAUCAUUCUUUUUUAAAAUCUCAAUUAUAAUAACAAUAUUUUAAAUGAGAAACUGGUUUCUAAAUAGAUAUAAAUAUUAUGAUCCCAAUUCUGUUUUAAUAUCUGUGAGUUUUGUGUUACAAAAUAUGAAUAAACCUUAGUUUCAUGACAGAAGAAAAGCAGAUCAUUUUUUUAAAAAAUGAAAUGUUAGUUUUAAGUAAGAGAUUUAUGAUUGUGUUAAAGUAAAGGUUUACUUCAAAGUUAGUUACUACAUCCUUUUAAAUACUGAAACCUAGCCAUUGGCUAUGGAUAAAAUGUUGUAAUAUGCUCUUGGUGUAUUUCUUUCAAUGGAGGCACUCAGUUUGCACACAUAGUGACCCAAAUCCAGUGUAACAUGAGCAGAGGAAAGCAGUGUGCUUAUAGAGUUCCUUGCUUGACACUCAUACAUUCUUCUGAUUUUUGCGGCUUAACAAACAGUUGCACAAUACUUUUUGUAGACUACAUACCAUAAAAAUUGCAUUAGAUGCCCCCUUUUCACAUAGUUGGAGACAGUUCAUAUUAAUUGCAUAUGAAUUUGCUUCCUUCAUUGUAGUGACUGCAAAACCUUGGGCAUGAAGUAGCCCUGUGUGUGUUAACUGGAAAACAGUGGAUGGAGGAGUUGGCUUGUGCCCAGAUGCAACAUUAGUAGAAUACCCUUUAUUUCCUAGGUAAAGCAGAACUGUUGAAUUAUUUCCCAUAAGCAGAACUCAUGAAUUGGCAAAUGAGAAUUGGUGAUAACAAUUCUGGAAUCUGUUGUCCAGAAUCUUUCAGUGUAAGAUUUGUAUAAGGUUUGAUGUGGCUAAUUGUAGGUGAUUGAUUAAGUGUUAGAGAUGCAUCUUAGUUACAUAGUCUGGCACAUAACCAGGAAUGUGACUGAGACACACCCAGGCACUUCAUCAAUUAUCUGUGAUAAUUUACACUAACCAUUCAUGAAUGUCAAUAUUCUGGCUGCUGGGAUUUAAGAAAACUUUUAGUGAUGUUUCAGUUUGUGGCUCAUGCUUGUGCUAUCAUCCAAUAUAAUAAUGAUGAUCUAAAAUCAUUGAGGGCUUAAAAUGUGACUGUGGAAAGGGGUAUACAACAUAAGCUCUAUGCCACAAGGAGGCCAAAUAUACCUCCAUGUGUUAAUCAGGAAGAAUGUUUACAAAGCUGCCUCUAAGUAUGUGCCCCUAGUGAAAAUGCCUACAGGCUUCUUUGUGGACCUUCAUGCUAAACAUAUAACAUCUGUUUGGCAUUUGUGUAUGGUGGGGUUAUGUACAUUCCUCCACAGUUAGAGCCUUCCAUGAGUUCUGUGUUAAGGCCUGAAUAUGGUUGUGUUGUUUGUAGAAAUCAGCUUGGAAUUUCUGUAGGGACCCAUGCAGGACUACACAAACUUUUUUCCAAUGGCAAAGGCCACAUAGACACAAGGUUUUUGCAGCCUCUUAAAAGCUCUCUGUUAAAUGGCAAGGGGCCCAAACAGGUAAUAACCCCCAGAAAAAGAAAUGACAGGAAAGUGAUACCCAGUAAGUAAUGGUUCCCUAUUAAGGCAAGCCAAAGUGUGAGGACUCCUAAAUAUAUGCACAGACAGCCAUGUAACCAUUUCUAUGCACAUGCCCUAUAUCCAGGAAAUUGACAUCAUAAAGUUGUAUGUCGUUGUCUCUGCUUAACUACAUGUGCUGUUCACAUUAUAUUUUCUGGUUAUUGUUUGUGAAUAUUUGGCCAGUGUGUUGAUUACAGAGUAACAUAACCAAUGUAAUUUAAUUUUGAGUUUCUGAACAGUUGCCUACCUUUAAAUCCUGCUGCUGAGAUUCCCUGUUAUUUAAAAAUGGUAAGGAAUUGCUUUUACACUAUAGUUGAUUGUGGUAUUUUCAAGGUGAAAACUGUGGUAUCUUCAAGGUGAAGAUUAGGAAAGAAAUUGUGUUCAGAGAGAACUGAACAUCCUUUAGGAAUAUGGAGAAAACCUGACUGCACAUUUUUCUGAAUAUGGAUAUUGCUGUCAUCAGUUUCAUUUUAGGUUCCUGCUUUGAAUCUGACACAUGUACAUUCUUCAAAGUUAUCAACAUUGUUUUUAAUACUUUGAAAGAUUUAUUUUAAUUCAAAUGAGUAUGUUAUAAGUCUGUGCAUGAUUUAUCCCAAUCACAAAUGUUCAUUGUGCCAUAGUCAAUAAAUGACAUAUUUUAAUUAAAUCUUCCCUAGGCAUUUAUAUACUGUAUAACCCAUGUGUUACUAGAUAAAACAAGUUGGAAAUGUCUUACUAGGUAACACGAGUUGGAAAAGACAAAAUGUGUCUUGGUGGCCAUUCACAAAAAGCAUUUUACAUUCAUUUUGAACAUAAAAGAUUACAUCUGUAGGCAAAUAGUUGUGAAUACAGCCCAUCUCUUGAUGUGGGUAGGAAACCUAUUCACACAGGAACCUUUCUCACACACUGUAGUAUACAUGAGACAGACACAUACAAACAGGACAGGAUCUUAUUAGUUGA